AGAAUAAUAAGAUAAUAAUUCUAUUAGCUUUCAAGGUUAAAAGUGUAAUCUUAUAU
rnacentral:tRNA from 1 species